rnacentral:rRNA from 1 species
AUUGAACGCUGGCGGCAUGCCUUACACAUGCAAGUCGAACGGCAGCACGGGGCAACCUGGUGGCGAGUGGCGAACGGGUGAGUAAUGCAUCGGAACGUGCCAUUGAGUGGGGGAUAACGUAGCGAAAGUUGCGCUAAUACCGCAUAUUCUGUGAGCAGGAAAGCAGGGGGACCGCAAGGCCUUGCGUUCUUUGAGCGGCCGAUGUCAGAUUAGCUAGUUGGUGAGGUAACGGCUUACCAAGGCGACGAUCUGUAGCGGGUCUGAGAGGAUGAUCCGCCACACUGGAACUGAGACACGGUCCAGACUCCUACGGGAGGCAGCAGUGGGGAAUUUUGGACAAUGGGCGCAAGCCUGAUCCAGCCAUGCCGCGUGAGUGAAGAAGGCCU